GACGAACGCUGGCGGCGUGCUUAACACAUGCAAGUCGAACGAAGAGCGAUGGAAGCUUGCUUCUAUCAAUCUUAGUGGCGCACGGGUGAGUAACGCGUAAUCAACCUGCCCUUCAGAGGGGGACAACAGUUGGAAACGACUGCUAAUACCGCAUACGAUCUAAUCUCGGCAUCGAGGAUAGAUGAAAGGUGGCCUCUACAUGUAAGCUAUCACUGAAGGAGGGGAUUGCGUCUGAUUAGCUAGUUGGAGGGGUAACGGCCCACCAAGGCGAUGGUCAGUAGCCGGUCUGAGAGGAUGAACGGCCACAUUGGGACUGAGACACGGCCCAGACUCCUACGGGAGGCAGCAGGGGGGAAUCUUCCGCAAUGGACGAAAGUCUGACGGAGCAACGCCGCGUGAGUGAUGGCGGCCUUCGGGUUGUAAAGCUCUGUUAAUCGGGACGAAAGGCCUUCUUGCGAAUAGUGAGAAGGUUUGACGGUACCGGAAUAGAAAGCCACGGCUAACUACGUG
rnacentral:rRNA from 1 species